UACGGAGGGUGCGAGCGUUGUCCGGAAUCACUGGGCGUAAAGGGCGCGUAGGCGGCUUUUUAAGCGUGCGGUGAAAGCCCGGGGCUCAACCCCGGGUCGGCCGUGCGAACUGGAAAGCUCGAGCCCACUAGAGGCAGGCGGAAUUCCGGGUGUAGCGGUGGAAUGCGUAGAGAUCCGGAAGAACACCGGUGGCGAAGGCGGCCUGCUGGGGUGGAGCUGACGCUGAGGCGCGACAGCGUGGGGAGCAAACGAGG
rnacentral:rRNA from 1 species